ACGAACGCUGGCGGCAUGCCUAACACAUGCAAGUCGAACGGAAGUAGCAAUACUUUAGUGGCGAACGGGUGAGUAACACGUGAGCAACCUGCCCUAUACAACGGGAUAACACAGAGAAAUUUGUGCUAAUACGGUAUAAGACCACAGUAUCGCAUGAUACAGGGGUAAAAGAUUUAUCGGUAUAGGAUGGGCUCGCGACCCAUUAGCUAGUUGGUGAGGUAACGGCCCACCAAGGCAACGAUGGGUAGCCGACCUGAGAGGGUGAUCGGCCACACUGGGACUGAGACACGGCCCAGACUCCUACGGGAGGCAGCAGUGGGGAAUAUUGGGCAAUGGAGGCAACUCUUACCCAGCAAUGCCGCGUGAAUGAAGAAGGUCUUCGGAUUGUAAAGUUCUUUAAUUGGGGACGAAAAAAAUGACGGUACCCAAGGAAUAAGCCCCGGCUAACUACGUGCCAGCAGCCGCGGUAAUACGUAGGGGGCAAGCGUUGUUCGGAAUGACUGGGCGUAAAGGGUGUGUAGGCGGUGUAGCAAGUUAGAAGUGAAAUACCUAGAGCUUAACUCAGGUGCUGCUUCUAAAACUGCUAUACUUGAGUGCAGUAGAGGAAAGUGGAAUUCCUAGUGUAGCGGUGGAAUGCGUAGAUAUUAGGAGGAGCACCAGAGGCGAAGGCGGCUAACUGGACUGUAACUGACG
rnacentral:rRNA from 2 species